rnacentral:rRNA from 1 species
GACGAACGCUGGCGGCGUGCUUAACACAUGCAAGUCGAACGGUGAACCUCUUCGGUGGGGUUCAGUGGCGAACGGGUGAGUGACACGUGGGCAACCGGCCCCCGGCUCUGUGAUAACUCCAAGACAUUGGGGCUAAUACCGGAUUUUCACCUCUUCCCUCAUGCGGGGUGGUGGAAAGGGUUUCCGGCGUGGGAUGGGCCCGUGGCCUAUCAGCUGGUCGGUGGAGUAGUGGCCUACCAGGGCGACGACGGGUAGCCGGCCUGGGAGGGUGACCGGCCACCAUGGGCCUGAGACACGGACCAGACUCCUACGGGAGGCAGCAGUGGGGAGUAUUGCGCAAUGGGCGGACGCCUGACGCAGAGACGCCGCGUGGGGGAUGACGGCCUUCGGGUUGUAAACAUCUUUCAGCAGGGACGAAGAGCAAGUGACGGUACCUGCAGAAGAAGCACCGGCCAACUACGUG